CAGUAGCCGCGGUAAUACGAAGGGGGCUAGCGUUGCUCGGAAUGACUGGGCGUAAAGGGCGCGUAGGCGGCGAUCAAAGUCAGGCGUGAAAUUCCUGGGCUCAACCUGGGGGCUGCGUUUGAUACUUGAUUGCUAGAGUGGGGAAGAGGGUCGUGGAAUUCCCAGUGUAGAGGUGAAAUUCGUAGAUAUUGGGAAGAACACCGGUGGCGAAGGCGGCGACCUGGUCCUUGACUGACGCUGAGGCGCGAAAGCGUGGGGAGCAAACAGGAUUAGAUACCCCAGUAGUCCCUGUCUCUUAUAC
rnacentral:rRNA from 1 species